ACGAACGCUGGCGGCGUGCCUAAUACAUGCAAGUUGAGCGAUGAAGAUUGGUGCUUGCACCAAUUUGAAGAGCAGCGAACGGGUGAGUAACGCGUGGGGAAUCUGCCUUUGAGCGGGGGACAACAUUUGGAAACGAAUGCUAAUACCGCAUAACAACUUUAAACAUAAGUUUUAAGUUUGAAAGAUGCAAUUGCAUCACUCAAAGAUGAUCCCGCGUUGUAUUAGCUAGUUGGUGAGGUAAAGGCUCACCAAGGCGAUGAUACAUAGCCGACCUGAGAGGGUGAUCGGCCACAUUGGGACUGAGACACGGCCCAAACUCCUACGGGAGGCAGCAGUAGGGAAUCUUCGGCAAUGGACGAAAGUCUGACCGAGCAACGCCGCGUGAGUGAAGAAGGUUUCCGGAUCGUAAAACUCUGUUGGUAGAGAAGAACGUUGGUGAGAGUGGAAAGCUCAUCAAGUGACGGUAACUACCCAGAAAGGGACGGCUAACUACGUG
rnacentral:rRNA from 1 species